rnacentral:miRNA from 1 species
CACCUCAUCGACCGGAAGGAAUCCCUUCUGGUCGAUGAGGUUGUUACACCUCAUCGACCGGAAGGAAUCCCUUCUGGUAGAUGAGGUU